rnacentral:lncRNA from 1 species
GCCGACGAGCCCCGGUGGCCCCGAGUGUACGGCGAAGGGGGCGGGGCUAGAGCGGCCUUGACAACCAUUAGAUCGCCUGGGGCCGGGCGGCUCGGAAACUACAUUUCCCAGAGGUCCCCGCGUGCCGCGGGACGGAAGGGGAAGCGCCUCGAGUGCAGUGCGCAGGCGCGAGAGCUUCCCCUGGUUAUAUAAGAGAAGU